rnacentral:rRNA from 1 species
GACGAACGCUGGCGGCGUGCUUAACACAUGCAAGUCGAACGGGAUAAUUUGAGAGCUUGCUCUUAGAGAAUCUAGUGGCAAACGGGUGAGUAACACGUAGACAACCUGCCGACAGGAUGGGGACAACAUUCCGAAAGGAAUGCUAAUACCGAAUGAAGCGGAGGAGAGGCAUCUCUCCUCCGUGAAAGAUGGCCUCUGAAUAUGCUAUCACCUGUCGAUGGGUCUGCGUCUGAUUAGCUAGUUGGUGAGGUAACGGCUCACCAAGGCGACGAUCAGUAGCCGGUCUGAGAGGAUGAACGGCCACAUUGGGACUGAGACACGGCCCAGACUCCUACGGGAGGCAGCAGUGGGGAAGCUUCCGCAAUGGGCGCAAGCCUGACGGAGCAACGCCGCGUGAGUGAAGAAGGUCUUCGGAUCGUAAAGCUCUGUUGACGGGGACGAACGUGCGAAGGGUGAAUAAUCCUUUGUAAUGACGGUACCUGUCGAGGAAGCCACGGCUAACUACGUG